GAAGGAGGGAGGGAAAGGGAGGGAAGUAAGGAGAGCAGCACUGCUUCCAGACUCUCACAUGGAUAGCGGAUCUCUUGGGACGAACAGUUAAACGUUUUUUUCUCACUAUCCUUUUCUAUAUCUUUCUCUCUCUCUCUUUUACUCUCGCUUUCUCUUACUUUCUUUUACUCUCUCUCUCUCUCUCUCUCUCUCUCUCUCUCUCUCUCUCUCUUGUUACUCUUCUGUAAGUGGACGAACUGUUGCUGUGCAUCUCCAGAGUGAUUCAUCAGGUUAAAAGAAACUACGGUAGCAGCCAGUCAGCAGCCAGCGGGUUGUGUUAACUAGCUCCAAGUCUGACCUCUCCUCUCCUCUCCACUGCUGUCCUCUACUCUAUGGGAAACCGAACAGACCAGGACAGGACAACCCUUCUCUCCCUCAUCUCCUCUCCCCCUUUUAUGUCCCCAAAAGAGAUUUCGGCACAGGACAAAGUUGCUGCUGCUGCUGGAUCUGAAAUGGAACAUUCCUUAGAGCAGUCUUCCGAGAAAGAACUCCUCCACUGACUGCUCCACUCCUCCAUAUCCUCAGCUGAACUCGGCUCUCACGCAGCACUACUGGAUCUGUGGGCAUGGGUUGGUCUGACUUGGGAGCAGCCAGAGGACAGCCAGAGGACACUCCAGAUGUCUGGGGAGACAUCUGGAGGCCCCGCCGCUGCGGGCCAGGGACGGGCACCCGGUUACGCUCGCUACCAGUCUGGCUGUGGUGGGGAGGGUUCCUGGCACAGUGAUUUGGUGCACAAAUAUAAACGAAAAUCACAUUGCCAGGGAUUUCCACCCUUACACAGGCAGCUCUCCAGGUGACCCAGGUGGCAUCGGUAUGUUCUGCCCGUCAGGGUACGUCGUUUCUGUUUCCCGAUCUUGGCCCUCUAUGGUCUAUGGAAACAAGAUCAUGUAAAAUAAUACUCAACUCCAGAUAAAAGCUGUUUUCAGCUCUCACACAGGGAUUUACAGAUUACUUCCUGGUAUUAGCUCCUUACAAACGGGAACUGUGGGAAACUGAGCCUACUUUGGCAGCCUUUGCUUAUAGACAUAAGGAGUGGAUAGAUCCAAAGUGCAAAGAGUGUUUUACCUUCUAUAGAAGUCUACAAAGUACUUCCAGCCUUAGAGGAAUCAAUCAACGUUCCUCCAGACUGCCAGUGAAAGUCUAUUUUCCUCAUGUGCAUCCUGUAGUGAGCAGCCACUUGCUAAAGGCACAGAGCUUAGCUAAUUGGUGAGCAUUGAUCCCUCUUAUGUGUUGUUCACAGUGGCUAAGUUCAGUGCCUGCGGUGAAAUAGUUGAUGCAGCAGGAUGUGCUCCAAACGAUGGCGAUGGACGAGUACUGGCUGAGUUCUGAGAUGUGAAGACGAAGGAAGAAGGUGGGAAGAGAGGGAGAGAUAAUGAUGGAGGAGUGAGGUGUUGCGUGGGCAUGGAGACAGAGGCAACAGCGGGAUACAGCACGAUCCCCGUAAAGAGCAGAGGAAAGAAGGCUGCUGGGGGAAUGUCAGGCCAGCCCUGGCAUGCCCAGUUCCACACUCCAUCUCAGUCAGUCAGUCAGGGCACAGCGCCUGGCUUUGGCACUCAGCACUGGCACUGAUUUAUGUGGCAGAGGAUGGGACACAGCUCACCUCACCUCCUCCCCAGAGCUGAGCUGGUGUGUGGGCUAGGCUGCCCUCUUGUCACACUCUGAGCUGAUGUGUGGGCUAGGCUGCCCUCAUCACACUAAGAGCUGGUGUGUGGGCUAGGCUGCCCUCUUGUCACACUCUGAGCUGUGGGGGCUUGGUACUUGGUAUAGAACCAUACCAAGCUACCAUGCAACUCUGAGGCCACAUUACGAGUGUGUGGAAUUCACUUUAUGAGUUGACAUACAUGCAAAACAUCUUGUGGGACAGUGGUCAACCCAUUUACGUGAGGCACAUUUGUUUUUGUAGUUAUCUCUGUCCCCUUGUCCAUUGGUCAGUUGGUUAAUUGUGGAUCAUUAUUAUAGAGUUCUUAUGGCCUAUUGUAAUGUUGUUUUGUCAAGAGGUUUCGACCUCUUGUGGUAACUGCUUAGUAAGGCCUUAAAUUGAAAGUUUCUCAGGGUUACCCAUCAAAUUGGCUACAAUAUGUUCUGUGGUUUCCAUUCGGUCUCAAUGUAGAGUGGUAGAGUGUUUCUAAAGGGAUGGACGUGGAGGGUUAAAAUACUCUAUGGUUGGGGCUGUGCCCUCCUGUGCCUACUGAACUGGUAUCAGUUUGAACUCUGAGUACUGGCUCAGUUCAGCAGGAACAGGAGUGGAGCCCACUGUGUGCCAUUACGCCCUCCAAUCAGCAUGCAGAAAGACAUCCAGUACCCCAUUAGCCCUGCCCACCAGACCCCCAAGGGCUUGUGCCAUUGGCCUUGAUGAAACCCAACAUUCCUGUCAGCAUUAAACCCUGAGACAUCAGACAGAGGCAUUGCAGCCUGUGAGAGUUGAAUGUCCCUGCUUCAAGUAUGAAUGUUUCAUAACCAGAUUUAUCAUUAGGAACUGGCAGGCAGCAUGGAGAAGAUACAUUGAAUUUGCUGCAUACUGAUGCAGUUAUUCUCCUCGGACUUCAUGUUUAUUUCAGUACGGCUUUUUUCCCCUUGACAAUGCCGCAACCAAGCACACACGCACCUUCUAUCUCUCUGAGCCGUCAAACGGAGAAACUGAAGUACAUUGUGCGGUAAUCCAAGUGAAAUGUCUGCUAUGUCCAUGUAAUUGACGUUACCUAGAGAGCCUCAUUUUCAGCUGAUUGGGAAUGUCUGCUAUUUUACUUUAUGCUCCCCUGCCACAGAGAUAAUGUAGCACGUUAUAAAUCAGGACUUUGGAAACAUUCUUUAUCUCAAGAUUUUUCACUCGUAGGAUAAAAGAGGUUCAUUAACCACACAAUAAAUCUCAGCUCAUCCAAUGGGCCGUGGAUUGUAGACGGCAUUUGCCGCCUCUUGGCAUUUUUAACCUUGAAGAGAUUACCUGAAUGAAACCUAGUUUUGUAAUAUGACAAGACUGGUGGAUUCUUGUCCUCAGGGCAUUGGUCCAAAUUCAUAUCUUUUUUUUUGUAUCUAUUAGGGGUAAAACUAGCCUAAUCCACCAGACAGGGGAUUAACAUCAAGCUACUACUUAAAAUGUCGCAUUUGUGGUUCCUUAACUCUGAGGCAUGCUGCUCUUCCUUUGUUGUCACAGGUGUCUCUUUCAUGCUGUUCUGUGAGUCAUCACUUUUGCUGUAAAUCUCAUGUAAUCCUACCACAAAAUCCAUUAAUAAAAAAGUAUUACUUCAUACAA